AUUGAACGCUGGCGGCAGGCCUAACACCUGCCAGUCGAGCGAGCGGCGGACGGGUGAGUAAUGUAUGGGGCCUGCCCGAUAGAGGGGGAUAACUACUGGAAACGGUAGCUAAUACCGCAUACUAUCGGAUAACCCAUAUGGGAUUAGCUAGUAGGUGAGGUAAUGGCUCACCUAGGCGACGAUCCCUAGCUGGUCUGAGAGGAUGAUCAGGGAAACGGGGACGGAGACACGGCCCAGAGGCGAAGGGAGGCAGAAGUGGGGAAUAGUGCACAAGGGGAGGAAGCCUGAUGCAGCCAUGCCGCGUGUAUGAAGAAGGACCUAGGGUUGUAAAGUACUUUCAGUCGGGAGGCGUUACCGACAGAAGAAGCACCGGCUAACUACGUGCCAGCAGCCGCGGUAAUAC
rnacentral:rRNA from 1 species